rnacentral:tRNA from 1 species
GCGGGAAUAGCUCAGUUGGUAGAGCACGACCUUGCCAAGGUCGGGGUCGCGA